GGCAAUUUGUCCGAGUGGUUUAAGGAGUUUGACUUGAAUUAUCAAAUGCGGUUUCCGCGCGUAGGUUCGAGUCCUGCAAUUGUCG